CAGUCGAGGGGUAUAGUUCUUCGGAAUUAGAGACCGGCGCACGGGUGCGUAACGCGUAUGCAAUCUACCUUUUACAGAGGGAUAGCCCAGAGAAAUUUGGAUUAAUACCUCAUAGCAUAGCAACUUCGCAUGAAGUCACUAUUAAAGUCACAACGGUAAAAGAUGAGCAUGCGUCCCAUUAGCUAGUUGGUAAGGUAACGGCUUACCAAGGCUACGAUGGGUAGGGGUCCUGAGAGGGAGAUCCCCCACACUGGUACUGAGACACGGACCAGACUCCUACGGGAGGCAGCAGUGAGGAAUAUUGGACAAUGGGCGCAAGCCUGAUCCAGCCAUGCCGCGUGCAGGAAGACGCAUCUAUGGUGUGUAAACUGCUUUUGUACGGGAAGAAACACUCCCUCGUGAGGGAGCUUGACGGUACCGUAAGAAUAAGGAUCGGCUAACUCCGUGCCAGCAGCCGCGGUAAUACGGAGGAUCCAAGCGUUAUCCGGAAUCAUUGGGUUUAAAGGGUCCGUAGGCGGUUUGGUAAGUCAGUGGUGAAAGCCCAUCGCUUAACGAUGGAACGGCCAUUGAUACUGCCAGACUUGAAUUACUGGGAAGUAACUAGAAUAUGUAGUGUAGCGGUGAAAUGCUU
rnacentral:rRNA from 1 species